rnacentral:rRNA from 1 species
GAAUUUUCCGCAAUGGGCUAACGCCUGACGGAGCAAUACCGCGUGAGGGAUGAAUGCCUAUGGGUUGUAAACCUCUUUUUUCAGGGAGGAACAAAUGACGUGUACCUGAAGAAUAAGCAUCGGCUAACUCCGUGCCAGCAGCCGCGGUAAGACGGAGGAUGCAAGUGUUAUCCGGAAUCACUGGGCGUAAAGCGUCUGUAGGUUGUUUAAUAAGUCAACUGUUAAAUCUUGAGGCUCAACCUCAAACUUGCAGUCGAAACUAUUAGACUAGAGUAUAGUAGGGGUAAAGGGAAUUUCCAGUGGAGCGGUGAAAUGCGUAGAUAUUGGAAAGAACACCGAUGGCGAAGGCACUUUACUGGGCUAUUACUGACACUCAGAGACGAAAGCUAGGGUAGCAAAUGGGAUUAGAUACCCCAGUAGUCCUAGCCGUAAACAAUGGAUACUAGAUGUUGCGUACUAGUUAUGCAGUAUCAAAGCUAACGCGUUAAGUAUCCCGCCUGGGAAGUAUGCUCGCAAGAGUG